AUUUCUUCCGUUGUAAAAACAAGGUGGUUAGGUAAAACUUGAGGGUUGUUACCCUCAGUCCACGGGCUGGCAGGGGACAAGAGGGAAAUGUGAGGUCACACCACUAAUUAGUGGCUGAGCCAAACCCAGAAGUUAGGUUUCCAGUCCCUCCCAUUGGAGCCUUUGCUGCUCAGAGCAGUGCAGGAAAGCCAUUCUAGAAGAGAUUUAGAUUUAUUUCUCAGUUGACCUGGCUCCACCAUGAGUAUUUAAAGAAAGCCACCUGAUAUGUAAUUGGAGUCAGGAGUAUCAGCCACUGCCUGGGUUGAUGAUUUUGUUAGCAGCUGGUGGACAGACAUGGAAUUCCUGCAGGAAAUGACUCCCAGCAGCUCUGAGUAGGUGUUUCCCCAAAGCCUCAUGUGGGCACAGUGUAUCGGGAGUGGACCCAGGGCCUUGCACACAUCUCCAGCAAGUGCUGUUCCACAGAGCUACACACCCGAAGUCCCUUUCUCUCUAGCUCAGCCACCACCCGUGGAAAAUUUAGCUCUUAGAGCUCUCCAAGACCACCUUUCAAAGGAGUGUGGCCUUCCUUGUCCACUUUCCCCGUCAAGGGUGACCUUCCUCCUUUGUUUCUUUCUUUCUUUUUUUAAAAAAAUUUUUCCAUGCCAGGGAUCGAACUGAAGACCUGCUCUUGGCAGGCAGACGCGGCACCACUGAGCUCCAUCCCUGGCCCCGUGACGUCCUCCUCUGAAUCGCACUGCAUUCCCGGUGUGCUUUUGGAAUCGCUCUUGCCCGGCAGCCCUACAGCUCACCUGCUGACCCCAUGGUGCUCCCUCCACUUCACCAUGGAAACCAGGCGUCCCAGAGAGGCUGGGGACUUGCCCAGAGUCACUCGCUGACUAGUGGCCCUGGAACUCUGACCAAGAUGACCUCACUGCUUCAUUUGUGCCUUCUUGGGGCACGCAUCUCACUCCACUUUCUGCUGUAGUUAUUUUUUUGGGUUUAUUUUAUUUGUUUGUAUGCCAACUCUUAGGGAGUCUUUUCUUUUUAGCCGCUGGCACCAAGCUUCUAGUUUGGAAUUUUGGCGACAGUCUCGAUUUCAAAUAGUUUAUGCUACUAUACAGAUAAGUACUCGUGACUUAAUUUUCGUAAUGUGUGGUCAGUUGUCAUAAAUGUUCAGAACGCUUCAGGCAGUAAAUAACUAUCUGUGUAGUGAAUUGAACGAUAGGGGCAAACAAGGCUCAUUUAAGAUGUGAGUGUGUGUAUAGACAUGUGUGCAUGAGAGAGAUUGAAACCCCCAAGUAAUACAUAAUACUUUGUUAAACUAACAAACACAGAUUUCAAGUGGUGACCAAGUACUUGCGCCUGUGUAUAUUUUGGUACCGGGGAACGAACUUGGGUCCUUGCGCUUGCGCAGCAGGCGGUGAAACCACUGAGCCAAAUCCCCGGCCCCCAAGGCCUGUGUAUAUUUUGAAGGAACCAUGUGACACAGAAUAAGAAAUAACAGCUUUCGGCAUCAUUUCAUUUCCAACAUCACAACAGAGAGAGAAAUCUGACUGCGCUGUAACUUCUUCUGUGAAUGGUCUGCAACUGUUUUCUCUUGCCGUAAAACUGUCGCUCUGCCAACUUUCCUUCUGCUUCAUUCUCAUGCUGUAAUUUCAGACUUAGUGCAGCUGCUGAUUUGUGAGAAUUGCUAAUUACCAUAUUUUCUAUUAAUCUCUAGCAUGACCCUCUAGCCCAGCUUCUGUUGGGAGGUACAACUUUUCCCAGGCAUCUAGAAAUUGGAAAUUAGAGAUCUGAAGGUAUUUCUGUGGUCACUUGUAACAUCAAUUACCUUUUAGACUCUUACGUGUGUGGAAGCACUUUGAGAACUCCCCGAAAGGGUAGCACUUCCCAAAUCACCUGCCUGGAGGAGCAAGGGUUAAUUCCACAGGCGGAAGGCGAAUCCUUAAGAACUGGAGACAGAAUGAGGUGCUGCCUUCAUUAUGACCCAUCCUCAACUUUGAUUCCAUUUCAUUCUAGAGUUCAGAGCUCAGCUUUUGCCAUUAAAUCUCAACCUACGUCACCUUUAAAUGCCAGGUAAGAGCUAGCCACCUUUGGAGGAUACUGACAUUGGCCUUCGGGUCAUGUUUCUUCUUACCCUUCCAUCGUAUUCACUGUUUAAACUAAAC
rnacentral:lncRNA from 1 species